UGGGGAAUCUUGGACAAUGGGGGAAACCCUGACCCAGCAACGCCGCGUGAAGGAUGAAGUAUUUCGGUAUGUAAACUUCGAAAGAAUAGGAAGAAUAAAUGACGGUACUAUUUAUAAGGUCCGGCUAACUACGUGCCAGCAGCCGCGGUAAUACGUAGGGACCAAGCGUUGUUCGGAUUUACUGGGCGUAAAGGGCGCGUAGGUGGCAUGACAAGUCACUUGUGAAAUCUCUGGGCUUAACCCAGAACGGUCAACUGAUACUGUCACACUAGAGUACAGAAGGGGCAAUCGGAAUUCUUGGUGUAGCGGUGAAAUGCGUAGAUAUCAAGAGGAACACCUGAGGCGAAGGCGGGUUGCUGGGCUGAUACUGACGCUGAGGCGCGAAAGCUAGGGUAGCAAACGGGAUUAGAUACCCGAGUAGUCCCUGAGCGGGCUGGCAAGGCGCAU
rnacentral:rRNA from 1 species